AUUGAACGCUGGCGGCAUGCCUUACACAUGCAAGUCGAACGGUAACAGGUCUUCGGAUGCUGACGAGUGGCGAACGGGUGCGUAAUACAUCGGAACGUGCCCAGACGUGGGGGAUAACGAGGCGAAAGCUUUGCUAAUACCGCAUACGAUCUAAGGCUGAAAGCAGGGGACCGCAAGGCCUUGUGCGUUUGGAGCGGCCGAUGGCAGAUUAGGUAGUUGGUGGGAUAAAAGCUUACCAAGCCGACGAUCUGUAGCUGGUCUGAGAGGACGACCAGCCACACUGGGACUGAGACACGGCCCAGACUCCUACGGGAGGCAGCAGUGGGGAAUUUUGGACAAUGGGCGAAAGCCUGAUCCAGCAAUGCCGCGUGCAGGAUGAAGGCCUUCGGGUUGUAAACUGCUUUUGUACGGAACGAAAAGGCUCUGGCUAAUACCUGGGGCACAUGACGGUACCGUAAGAAUAAGCACCGGCUAACUACGUG
rnacentral:rRNA from 1 species